rnacentral:rRNA from 1 species
GCUUGUCUCAAAGAUUAAGCCAUGCAUGUCUAAGUAUAAGCAAACUUGUACUGUGAAACUGCGAAUGGCUCAUUAUAUCAGUUAUAGUCUACUCGAUAGUACCUUACUACUUGGAUAACCGUAGUAAUUCUAGAGCUAAUACAUGCACAAAAUCCCGACUUACGAAGGGAUGUAUUUAUUAGAUACAAACCAACAUCGUGGUGAUUCAUAAUAACUCGCGGAUCGGUUUACCGAUGCAUCAUUCAAGUUUCUGCCCUAUCAGCUUUGGAUGGUAGGGUAUUGGCCUACCAUGGCUUUAACGGGUAACGGAGAAUUAGGGUUCGAUUCCGGAGAGGGAGCCUGAGAAAUGGCUACCACAUCCAAGGAAGGCAGCAGG